rnacentral:rRNA from 1 species
AGAGUUUGAUCCUGGCUCAGGAUGAACGCUGACAGAAUGCUUAACACAUGCAAGUCUACUUGAUCCUUCGGGUGAUGGUGGCGGACGGGUGAGUAACGCGUAAAGAACUUGCCUUGCAGUCUGGGACAACGUCUGGAAACGGACGCUAAUACCGGAUAUUAUGGUUGAAUCGCAUGAUUUGAUUAUGAAAGCUAUAUGCGCUGCGAGAGAGCUUUGCGUCCCAUUAGUUAGUUGGUGAGGUAACAGCUCACCAAGACGAUGAUGGGUAGCCGGCCCGAGAGGGUGAACGGCCACAAGGGGACUGAGACACGGCCCUUACUCCUACGGGAGGCAGCAGUGGGGAAUAUUGGACAAUGGACCAAAAGUCUGAUCCAGCAAUUCUGUGUGCACGAUGAAGUUUUUCGGAAUGUAAAGUGCUUUCAGUUGGGAAGAAGAAAGUGACGGUACCAACAGAAGAAGCGACGGCUAAAUACGUGCCAGCAGCCGCGGUAAUACGUAUGUCGCAAGCGUUAUCCGGAUUUAUUGGGCGUAAAGCGCGUCUAGGCGGUUUGGUAAGUCUGAUGUGAAAAUGCGGGGCUCAACUCCGUAUUGCGUUGGAAACUGCCAAACUAGAGUACUGGAGAGGUAGGCGGAACUACAAGUGUAGAGGUGAAAUUCGUAGAUAUUUGUAGGAAUGCCGAUGGGGAAGCCCAGCCUACUGGACAGAUACUGACGCUAAAGCGCGAAAGCGUGGGUAGCAAAACAGGAUUAGAAUACCCCUGGGUAGUCCACGCCCUAAAACGAUGUCUACUAGUUGUUGGG